rnacentral:rRNA from 3 species
AUACAUGCAAGUCGAGCGGACAGAAGGGAGCUUGCUCCCGGAUGUUAGCGGCGGACGGGUGAGUAACACGUGGGUAACCUGCCUGUAAGACUGGGAUAACUCCGGGAAACCGGAGCUAAUACCGGAUAGUUCCUUGAACCGCAUGGUUCAAGGAUGAAAGACGGUUUCGGCUGUCACUUACAGAUGGACCCGCGGCGCAUUAGCUAGUUGGUGAGGUAACGGCUCACCAAGGCGACGAUGCGUAGCCGACCUGAGAGGGUGAUCGGCCACACUGGGACUGAGACACGGCCCAGACUCCUACGGGAGGCAGCAGUAGGGAAUCUUCCGCAAUGGACGAAAGUCUGACGGAGCAACGCCGCGUGAGUGAUGAAGGUUUUCGGAUCGUAAAGCUCUGUUGUUAGGGAAGAACAAGUGCAAGAGUAACUGCUUGCACCUUGACGGUACCUAACCAGAAAGCCACGGCUAACUACGUGCCAGCAGCCGCGGUAAUACGUAGGUGGCAAGCGUUGUCCGGAAUUAUUGGGCGUAAAGGGCUCGCAGGCGGUUUCUUAAGUCUGAUGUGAAAGCCCCCGGCUCAACCGGGGAGGGUCAUUGGAAACUGGGAAACUUGAGUGCAGAAGAGGAGAGUGGAAUUCCACGUGUAGCGGUGAAAUGCGUAGAGAUGUGGAGGAACACCAGUGGCGAAGGCGACUCUCUGGUCUGUAACUGACGCUGAGGAGCGAAAGCGUGGGGAGCGAACAGGAUUAGAUACCCUGGUAGUCCACGCCGUAAACGAUGAGUGCUAAGUGUUAGGGGGUUUCCGCCCCUUAGUGCUGCAGCUAACGCAUUAAGCACUCCGCCUGGGGAGUACGGUCGCAAGACUGAAACUCAAAGGAAUUGACGGGGGCCCGCACAAGCGGUGGAGCAUGUGGUUUAAUUCGAAGCAACGCGAAGAACCUUACCAGGUCUUGACAUCCUCUGACAACCCUAGAGAUAGGGCUUUCCCUUCGGGGACAGAGUGACAGGUGGUGCAUGGUUGUCGUCAGCUCGUGUCGUGAGAUGUUGGGUUAAGUCCCGCAACGAGCGCAACCCUUGAUCUUAGUUGCCAGCAUUCAGUUGGGCACUCUAAGGUGACUGCCGGUGACAAACCGGAGGAAGGUGGGGAUGACGUCAAAUCAUCAUGCCCCUUAUGACCUGGGCUACACACGUGC